rnacentral:lncRNA from 1 species
AGCCGCCGUGUCGGAAUUUCGAUAUUGGCCGAAAUGGGCCCUAGGUCUGAUUUGGAAUUUUUUGGGACACGUGCAGGUACCAGUAGUGCGUUUCAAUUUUCUAGAAAAAAUUCCGGAAAAUUAGGGACAGCCCGUAGGCGCACUGUAGAGUCGAUUUCAGACCUCGAAACAAGUAAGGACCCCUCACCCUAUUUCCUAUCACGGUAUUAAAGCUUAAUAAAUAAUUAAACAGUAUUUUGAGACUUUAUAGAUGUAUAAUUGAUUGAGGUUACCAAUGGAGCCCGAGUCUGAUACAGUGUUGGUCUGUUGUUGUUUGAUCUAAUUUUCAGUAUUAAAUGCAGUAUGAUGUUUGAUGUAAUUAUGUUAUGGUCUCGUAUGCAUGAAUCAUGGUUUCUUUUAUUAUGGUUUGUAUUAUGGUGAACUUGAUACUGUGUUAUCUU